rnacentral:sRNA from 1 species
GAUGAAGCGAGGAGGUGAAUAUGAUGAGGUCAACCGCAAAAUCGUUCUAUCAGCGCUACUUUUCUGCGACGCAGGAAGCGUCCUGGCUGGCCCGCCUGAUGGCAGGAAGACAGCAGGAAAUUCUGGGAGAACUGAUGCAGUGGGGAGUGACGUCAAAGACCUCGGAUCAUUGACUUGCAGACAUCAUGUGUGACUGAGUAUUGGUGUUAUACUCGUCGUCUUUCACGCUGCAGGUGGCCUGGUCGCCUCGCUGUCGAUGCGCUCAGGGCCUAACGUUCUGGCCACGCUCAUCCUUUCAGGGCCAGCGCAAGCGCUGUGCAAAACGGGUAACCGUUUUGUCCUGCAACAUGAAACGCAUAGAGUAUAGAAUCACCCGCCAGCAGAAAGCUUCUGCUGGCUUUUUU